AAAAGUGGAAACAAGGUAUCCGUUGGUGAACCAGCGGAGGGAUCAUUA
rnacentral:rRNA from 1 species